GCUUGAGCUUGGUCAGCCGAUUGAUUUGACUCUCCAGCUGGUGCUUGGGAAGGCUCCUGUGAUGGGACUUUCUCGGCUGGUGCUGAAUCUUGCGCUUGAGCU
rnacentral:tRNA from 1 species